CCCACCCCCACCCAAAAGCAAACCCUACGAGAGCAGCACCCCCAGGAACUCUGCCGAGGUGGCUCCGCCGCUGCCGAGCAGACGAGAGGCCAAACCUCCCCCUCCGCCCCCCAAAACCCGAAAAUGCAGCGUCACCUCCGCGGAGCUGCCCUGAGGAUCCACAUCCCAGGGACCAUCUGUGCCGCCUUCUGUGGGGUUUGGGGGAAUCACCCCAAAAAAGGAGCGAAUUUGGGGUUGAAAUCCCUGUCCUGUUUGGCUGUUCUGCAAUCCCAGCAGCUCCAUCCCAGUCACACUGGGAAUCUCGGACUGGUCUCACUGGUUUUGGGGCUGCAGGGCACUGGCGUUUCCUGCCCGAGUCCAGUUCUGUGCUGGGUUUGGGGUCAGUUCUCAUCUCCUCUGCCAUCCCAACGCUUCUGUGGGGUUUUGUUGGGGAACGACCCCAAAAGGAGCGAAUUUGGGGUUGGGUUCCCUGCCCUGUUUGGCUGUUCUGCAAUCCCAGCAGCUCCAUCCCAGUGCCACUGGGAAUCUCGGACUGGUUUUAGGAUCUUGGACUGGUUUUGGGCUGCAGGGGACUGGGGUUUCCUGCCCGAGUCCAGUUCUGUGCUCAGCUCGUGUUGGGUUUGGGGAAAAACUCAUUUUGUGCUGGUUUUGGGGAAAACCUCAUUUUGUGCUGGUUUUAGGGAAAAAAAACCACUUCAUUUUGGGUUUGGGGAAAAACUCAUUUUGUUCUGGAUUUGGGGUCAGUUCUCAUCUCCUCUGCCAUCCCAAUGCCUCUGUGGUGUUUUCUUGGGGAAUGACCCCAAAAGGAGAGAAUUUGGGGUUCAAAUCCCUGCCCUGUUUGUUCUGCAAUCCCAGUGCCACUGGGAAUCUCGGACUGGUCUCACUGGUUUUGGGGCUUCAGGGCACUGGGAUUUCCUGCCCGAGUCMAGUUCUGUGCUCAGCUCGUGUUGGGUUUGGGGAAAAAACCUCAUUUUGUGCUGGUUUUAGGG